rnacentral:rRNA from 1 species
UGGGGAAUUUUGGACAAUGGGCGAAAGCCUGAUCCAGCAAUGCCGCGUGUGUGAAGAAGGCCUUCGGGUUGUAAAGCACUUUUGUCCGGAAAGAAAUCCUUGGCUCUAAUACAGUCGGGGGAUGACGGUACCGGAAGAAUAAGCACCGGCUAACUACGUGCCAGCAGCCGCGGUAAUACGUAGGGUGCAAGCGUUAAUCGGAAUUACUGGGCGUAAAGCGUGCGCAGGCGGUUUGCUAAGACCGAUGUGAAAUCCCCGGGCUCAACCUGGGAACUGCAUUGGUGACUGGCAGGCUAGAGUAUGGCAGAGGGGGGUUAGAAUUCCACGUGUAGCAGUGAAAUGCGUAGAGAUGUGGAGGAAUACCGAUGGCGAAGGCAGCCCCCUGGGCCAAUACUGACGCUCAUGCACGAAAGCGUGGGGAGCAAACAGGAUUAGAUACCCUGGUAGUCCACGCCCUAAACGAUGUCAACUAGUUGUUGGGGAUUCAUUUCCUUAGUAACGUAGCUAACGCGUGAAGUUGACCGCCUGGGGAGUACGGUCGCAAGAUUAAAACUCAAAGGAAUUGACGGGGUCAUAGCUG